UGCGGGGUCGUCUAAUGGUAGGACACUCCCCUUUGAAGGGAGGUAUCUUGGUCCGAAUCCAAGCCCCGCAG
rnacentral:tRNA from 1 species